GUCAAGUUCACUUCCACAUUUUGGGCAGCUGAAGAUCCCAAGGCCCUUCUCCAUAAGCUCAUUUACCAGCUUGCACCUGGUAAAUGCACAGCUCCAAAAGGAGCUGGGAGCAGCAGCCUGGAAGGGGAUACGGCCUGCGGAUCACCGAUGUUACUUGCUCCCUCCAGAGCUGCCUUCCAACUGCCGACUCGCUCACUUUCUCCUUCACUUGCACAUGCUGAGGUGCCCACAGCCUCAGGAAACACCACUGUAAGAUACGAGAAUCAAGAUAUGGGCUUUUCUUGGAACCACGAGGCCAACCUGCUGUCACUUUCUGGCUUCCUUGAAACCCCAUGAAGGAGGCAGUGCCUGGGUCCCUGGAGGGGAAACCAUUAGCCGACCAUCCCUGGAGCAGGGAUUUUACCUGCCACGGUCCCUCAUGCUGUGCAGUGGCAAAGGGAGGGCCUGGCAUGCAGGAGGAGCAUGAAAUACAUUUGUAGUAUGAGCACAUUCUACCAUGAGAUGAUACACACUAGAAUAAAUGCAUAAGACAUAUGGAAAGAAUGAAAUUAUAAUCUCAUGCAUUUCAAAAUGGACAUGAGGAAUAACCCUGGAAACAAUUAUUUCCUGUAAAAAUCUAUGAUCUGUAGUCUAUAGUUGUUUUUUGUUUUUAAUUUGUAAAAUUUGACCAAAAAGCCUUUCAAGCCUCAUAAGCCCCAUAAGCACUUAUGGCUAAUUUAACCAAAAGACAUAGCUAGCUAUUGAAUUCUGUAUCACCCACUGUUAUUUUCUCAACGAGUUACUUCUGUAAUGGAAUUAACCAGCAAUUCGUGACAAUGUCAUUUUGACUAUUUGCCUCCAUGGCAUUGAAUUUUACAAGUUGUUCUAGCAUGCUGUCAACAUAAAACCAAAUCACCAUAUUGGAACAUUUCCUCCUCUUCUUCUUCUCAGUCAGUAACUCCUGCCUUUAGUUAGCAGGAAUUUACCCGGCAAACAGAUGAGAGCCCCUUCUGUGCCAAGCCCGGGACUAAGCUCUGCAGAAACAGCAGAGAACAACAGAGAGAGAGUUCUGCCCUCACCAAACUUAUCUUUGAGCAGGAAGAGAUCAAUAAAUAAGUGAUUACGUAAAUGAGAUGAUGCCAGAAAGUUAGAGCCAAGAGAAAGUAAGGAGGCUAGAGAUGGCGGAGGCUCCUAGGGAAGGAGCGCUUGAGCUGCAACCCCACAGAUGCGCCCCCAGCCCACGAGUUCUGGGGCGGAAGUGUUCCAGGCAGCAGGGUCAGCAGCGGCCACGCCAGAGGCAGGAAGAAGCUUCGGGUAUUUGAGGGACUGAAAAAUAAGGCCAGCGUGGGAGACAGAGCUGGUACAAGAAGUGGAAAGCAAACAGGGCUCCUUCACGCCUUGUGGAGUCUUGCGGACCAUGAUGAGGAACCCACUGUUGGGUGACAUGACAUGAGUUGUUUCUCAAAGAACCCUCUGGAUCUGUGGAAGGUGGCUUGGGGACGGGUGUGAGCGGCCACUGCCCAGGUGUGGCAUGAGAGGCCCCACGCUCAGGUGGUGGCGGUGGGACCGAACACACAGGUAAGAGAUAGACCUUGUCGGCAAAGGCACUGGGACGUGCUGGCUGAGUGACUGGAGGGGUGAGGGAAGGAGCUGGAGUGAUGCCUUAUUGAAACUAAUGAGAUCUACUAAUUAGGAUCACAUUUUACCAUAAACAAAUUAUUAAGCACUUUUCCUGCCAGUAUCACUGCCCUGCCUUUAGGAAUAAGGCUUAAAAUUCAUUAAAAAGGAGUCUGACAGGAGUCAAGGGACCUCUAAUAUUUUCUAACCGUGGGGAAGGGAACUGCAGAAGUCAAGCUAUAACAAUAUGUCACAUUUAUAAAGCACGUCGCUGUUUACAAAGUGCUUUCAUAUCCAUGAUCUCGCUCACACUCUUUAUUUUUCUUCCAAUUUUAUGACAUUUCCAUCGACGGGGUUGGAUUAAUAAACUGGUUCAUUCACAUAACAAAAACCAGAUUCUGAUGAAGAAGUGGUUGACACUCCGCUGCUUAUUAUAACUUUUUAACUCAUUUUUAUUGUUAUUCUAUUACAGUUGUCCCAAUUUUUCCCCCUUUGCCCUCCUCUGCACCCAUCCCACCCCACCCCCCACUCCCACAGUCAGUUCUCUCACUGUUGUCUGUGUCCGUGGGUCAUCCACACAUGCUCUUUGUCUAGUCCCUUCCCCUUUUUUCCACCAUUGUCCCCCACCCACUUCUCCUCUGGUCACUGUCAGCCUGUUCCAUGUUUUUGUGCCUCUGGUUCUAUUUUGUUCAUUAGUUUAUCGUUCAUUCGAUUCCCCUCAUAGGUGAGAUCAUAUGGUAUCCGUCUUUCACCAACUGGCUUAUAUGACAGGAGCUAGUCUUCUAACAGAGACAGUUUUCUGUAAUUUAAAAGAAACAUUUUUUUCAUUAUCUUUUUGUUUCAGUGUUAUCCAUGGAUCACCCUGAUCGUACUUGUGAAAAUAAGAUUCAAUUGGAAUUUUAAGAAUGCCAGCAUUGUGAAAGUUUUGAAAUGAAUAU